GAUGAACGCUGGCGGCGUGCCUAACACAUGCAAGUCGAGCGAUUCUCUUCGGAGAAGAGCGGCGGACGGGUGAGUAACGCGUGGGUAACCUGCCCUGUACACACGGAUAACAUACCGAAAGGUAUGCUAAUACGGGAUAAUAUGCUUUAGUCGCAUGGCUGAAGUAUCAAAGCUCCGGCGGUACGGGAUGGACCCGCGUCUGAUUAGCUAGUUGGUAAGGUAACGGCUUACCAAGGCGACGAUCAGUAGCCGACCUGAGAGGGUGAUCGGCCACAGUGGAACUGAGACACGGUCCAAACUCCUACGGGAGGCAGCAGUGGGGAAUAUUGCACAAUGGGCGAAAGCCUGAUGCAGCAACGCCGCGUGAGCGAUGAAGGCCUUCGGGUCGUAAAGCUCUGCCCUCAAGGAAGAUAAUGACGGUACUUGAGGAGGAAGCCCCGGCUAACUACGUGCCAGCCGCCGCCGUAA
rnacentral:rRNA from 1 species